GCUCAACGUUUACUUUCACUUUCCUGAACUUCGUGGAGUGGAGCUUGUUGUUGGUGUGUGAAGAAACUACUGACUGAAGUCCACAAGAAGCUGAUGAUGAAGGAAGAGGAGGACAAAGCAGAGUCUGCAGGAUCCAGUUGUCCCUCUGUGAGGAGUGACAGGUCCAAAGAUAGCAAUCCAUACUUCAGUGCUGAACCUGGACCAACGAGAGUGGACCAGCAGAGCUCAGAGGUUCCCAGUGGUCAGUCUGCCCAGCAGCAUCAAACAG